UAAAAAAUUUGGCGGUAUUUUAGUCUAUUCAGAGGAACCUGUUUUAUAAUCGAUAAUCCACGAUGGACCUUACUUAAAUUAGUAUUCAGUUUAUAUACCGUCGUUAUUAGAAUAUUUUAUAAAAAUGUUAAUUUUCAUAAUUUUAAAAUAAAAAAUAUAUCAGAUCAAGGUGUAGCUUAUGUUUAAGUAAAAAUGGGUUACAAUAAAUUUAUUUAUACGAAUGUAAAUUUGAAAAUUUUAUUAAAGGUGGAUUUGAUAGUAAAAUUAUAAAGAUUAAUAAUUUGAUUUAAGCUUUAAAAUAUGUACAUAUCGCCCGUCACUCUUAUUAUUAAGGUAAGAUAAGUCGUAACAUAGUAGAUGUACUGGAAAGUGUAUCUAGAAUACAGUUUAAAGCUUAAUAAGUAAAGUAUUUCAUUUACAUUGAAAAGAUUUUUGUGCAAAUCAAUAUAAAUUGAUUAAAUUUUAUUUAUUAUUUUAUUAAUUUAUUAAUUUUAAUGUAUUAAAAAUAAUUAUAAAAAUCAUUUGUUUUAGUAUUGUAUAAAAAAAAAAUAAUAUUUAUUAUAGUGUAAUAGUAUUG
rnacentral:rRNA from 1 species